AGCGAACGCUGGCGGCGUGCUUAACACAUGCAAGUCGAGCGAAGGUGUUUCAAGGGUAACCUUGAGAUACACUUAGCGGCGGACGGGUGAGUAAUACGUGGAUAACUUACCUCUAGGCCUGGGAUAACCCCGGGAAACUGGGGCUAAUACCUGAUAAGACCACAUUGUCUACGGACAAAGGGGUAAAAGGUGGCUGUGCAAACAGCUAUCGCCAAAAGACAGGUUCACGUCCCAUCAGGCAGUGGUGAGGUAAUGGCUCACCAAACCAAAGACGGGUAGCCGGCCUUGGCGGGUGAACGGCCACACGGGGACUGAGACACGGCCCCGACUCCUACGGGAGGCAGCAGUGGGGAAUAUUGGGCAAUGGGCGCAAGCCUGACCCAGCGACGUCGCGUUGGGGAAGAAGGCC
rnacentral:rRNA from 1 species